rnacentral:rRNA from 1 species
GAUGAACGCUGGCGGCGUGUUUAACACAUGCAAGUCGAGCGAAGCACUUUUGCGGAUUUCUUCGGAUUGAAGCAACUGUGACUGAGCGGCGGACGGGUGAGUAACGCGUGGGUAACCUGCCUCAUACAGGGGGAUAACAGUUGGAAACGACUGCUAAUACCGCAUAAGCGCACAGUACCGCAUGGUACGGUGUGAAAAACUCCGGUGGUAUGAGAUGGACCCGCGUCUGAUUAGGUAGUUGGUGGGGUAACGGCCUACCAAGCCGACGAUCAGUAGCCGACCUGAGAGGGUGACCGGCCACAUUGGGACUGAGACACGGCCCAAACUCCUACGGGAGGCAGCAGUGGGGAAUAUUGCACAAUGGGGGAAACCCUGAUGCAGCGACGCCGCGUGAGCGAUGAAGUAUUUCGGUAUGUAAAGCUCUAUCAGCAGGGAAGAAAAUGACGGUACCUGACUAAGAAGCCCCGGCUAACUACGUGCCAGCAGCCGCGGUAAUACGUAGGGGGCAAGCGUUAUCCGGAUUUACUGGGUGUAAAGGGAGCGUAGACGGCAUGGCAAGCCAGAUGUGAAAGCCCGGGGCUCAACCCCGGGACUGCAUUUGGAACUGUCAGGCUAGAGUGUCGGAGAGGAAAGCGGAAUUCCUAGUGUAGCGGUGAUAUGCGUAGAUAUUAGGAGGAACACCAGUGGCGAAGGCGACUUUCUGGACGAUGACUGACGUUGAGGCUCGAAAGCGUGNGGAGCAAACAGG